AGAGUUUGAUCCUGGCUCAGCCUGAACGCUGGCGGCGUGGCUAAGACAUGCAAGUCGCACGGGGUAGCAAUACCCAGUGGCGAACGGGAGAGUAAUGAAUCGCUAAUGUACCCCGGACUCUGGGAUAGCCAUCCGAAAGGGUGGGUAAUACCAGAUGAUACGACCCUGUCGCAUGGCAGGGUUUUCAAAGGUCCGCCGGUCUGGGAGCAGGCGAUUUCGUAUCAGCUAGUUGGUGAGGUAACGGCUCACCAAGGCGACGACGCGUAGCCGGACUGAGAGGUUGGCCGGCCUCAUUGGGACUGAGACACUGCCCAGACUCCUACGGGGGGCUGCAGUAACGAAUCUUCCGCAAUGCACGAAAGUGUGACGGAGCGACGCCGCGUGUGGGACGAAGCCCUUCGGGGUGUAAACCACUGUCAGGGGUUACCAAGUUCUGAGGAGCCCCAGAGGAAGGCACGGCUAACUCUGUGCCAGCAGCCGCGGUAAUAC
rnacentral:rRNA from 1 species